rnacentral:misc_RNA from 1 species
AAUCCUCAACCCUCCCUUGCGGGUGUGGCUUGGACUUGGAGCGUGCUGGCGAAGGUCGGCUCCUCUUUAAAUGCAUCAGCGGAAAGCUUUUCUGGCCGUUCGGCGUGAUAACACUGUUGCGCCGUGGAAGCCUCUGUAAAGGCCUCGCUUACAAUCGUCUUCGGACAAACGACAUCUCAGUCAAAUCCA